UUUGGCUUCACGUUGCUGUGAGUCUGGAGUCCCGGGUUACCUUUAAGGUCCGCCACAGUUUUAGUGACAUUGAGUGUAAACAAUAGGCGGCGACAGAUGAAUUAUUGCGCUCCCUAUGACACAGUGUAAAUGUAGAUGUAGAUUGCGUGGCGUAGAAUAGAGACCCAGGAGAAAGAAAAAUAGUGUUGAAUAAGAUAAAAAAGAAAUAGACUCGAGUGAUCACGUGACAGGUCAUGGUCGAGCCAGGGACGAGAUCGUGUCAUCGUCCUUUUUUUUAAGUCCAGAUGAGAAAGAGAGAGAAUCGGGAAAGAGAUCUCUCGCCAGUGAACCACGCCUAGAAAUAUAUAUAGAUCUAUUUCUCUACCUGUUUUAUAUCGGGUUAUUUUUAUUUUAUUU